GAUGAACGCUGGCGGCGUGCCUAAUACAUGCAAGUCGAGCGAACGGGCGAGAAGCUUGCUUGUCUGAUGUUAGCGGCGGACGGGUGAGUAACACGUGGAUAACCUACCUAUAAGACUGGGAUAACUUCGGGAAACCGGAGCUAAUACCGGAUGAUAUUUUGAACCGCAUGGUUCAAAAGUGAAAGACGGUCUUGCUGUCACUUAUAGAUGGAUCCGCGCUGCAUUAGCUAGUUGGUAAGGUAACGGCUUACCAAGGCAACGAUGCAUAGCCGACCUGAGAGGGUGAUCGGCCACACUGGAAGUGAGACACGGUCCAGACUCCUACGGGAGGCAGCAGUCGGGAAUCUUCCGCAAUGGGCGAAAGCCUGACGGAGCAACGCCGCGUGAGUGAUGAAGGUCUUCGGAUCGUAAAACUCUGUUAUUAGGGAAGAACAUAUGUGUAAGUAACUGUGCACAUCUUGACGGUACCGAAUCAGAAAGCCACGGCUAACUACGUG
rnacentral:rRNA from 1 species